AAAAAAUGCAAAUUCGGUUUUUUUGAAGAACAGGGACUUUCUCUUCUGCGAAAUCUUCGAAAAACCUUCAAAACCUUCGAAAAACCUUCGAUUUAUUCUUCGAAAUCUUCCUCUUCUCUUCAAUUAAGACUCAGAUCUUGAUUUGAAUCUUCUUCUUCCCUUGAAUUAAGACUCAGAUUGAGAUACUAUGGAAGAUUUACAAAAAGUGCUUAAUAUGGAAGAUUCACCAAAAACUUCCAACAAUGAAAAAGAAUUGUCAGAAGGUAAUGUUAUUAUGUUCUUCAAAAAAAAAAAAUACUAAGUUAUGAUUGUGCAUAUUUACUGUCUUUUUUUUGUAAUAUUGAAAAUCUUUGUUGCCAAGGUGAAUGCUACUAUGUUCUUAGAAAAAGAUACUAUGUUGUGAUUAAAAGUUACUAUGACAA